rnacentral:tRNA from 1 species
AGGCCUAUAGCUCAAUCAGGUUAGAGCAUCGCUCUCAUAAAGCGAGGGUUCUCGGUUCGAGUCCGAGUAGGCCUACCA